rnacentral:rRNA from 1 species
GAGGAAUAUUGGUCAAUGGGCGAGAGCCUGAACCAGCCAAGUCGCGUGAGGGAGUACUGCCCUAUGGGUUGUAAAACCUCUUUUGUCGGGGAGCAAAAGCCGGACGUGUCCGUCUGUGAGAGUACCCGAAGAAAAAGCAUCGGCUAACUCCGUGCC